ensembl:miRNA microRNA 140
CCUUCCAGUGGUUUUUCCCUAUGGUAGGUUGGAUUUGCUUGUCUACCACAGGGUAGAACCACGGACGGGA